rnacentral:rRNA from 1 species
ACGGGAGGCAGCAGUGGGGAAUAUUGCGCAAUGGACGGAAGCCUGACGCAGCGACGCCGCGUGGGGGAUGACGGCCUUCGGGUUGUAAACCUCUUUCGCCAGGGACGAAGCUUUAUUGUGACGGUACCUGGAUAAGAAGCACCGGCCAACUACGUGCCAGCAGCCGCGGUAACACGUAGGGUGCGAGCGUUGUCCGGAAUUAUUGGGCGUAAAGAGCUCGUAGGCGGUGUGUCACGUCGGCCGUGAAAACUUGGGGCUUAACUCUGAGCGUGCAGUCGAUACGGGCAUCACUUGAGUUCGGCAGGGGAGACUGGAAUUCCUGGUGUAGCGGUGAAAUGCGCAGAUAUCAGGAGGAACACCGGUGGCGAAGGCGGGUCUCUGGGCCGAUACUGACGCUGAGGAGCGAAAGCGUGGGGAGCGAACAGGAUUAGAUACCCUGGUAGUCCACGCCGUAAACGUUGGGCGCUAGGUGUGGGGACCAUUCCACGGUUUCUGUGCCGCAGCUAACGCAUUAAGCGCCCCGCCUGGGGAGUACGGCCGCAAGGCUAAAACUCAAAGGAAUUGAC